rnacentral:rRNA from 1 species
UAAUCUGCCUUCUGGUCGGGGACAACCACUGGAAACGGUGGCUAAUACCGGAUGAGCCGAAGGGUAAAAGAUUAAUUGCCAGAAGAGGAGCUCGCGUCUGAUUAGCUAGUUGGUGGGGUAAAGGCUCACCAAGGCAUCGAUCAGUAGCUGGUCUGAGAGGACGAUCAGCCACACUGGGACUGAGACACGGCCCAGACUCCUACGGGAGGCAGCAGUGGGGAAUUUUCCGCAAUGGGCGAAAGCCUGACGGAGCAAGACCGCGUGAGGGAAGAAGGCUCUUGGGUCGUAAACCUCUUUUGUCAGGGAAGAACACAAUGACGGUACCUGACGAAUCAGCCUCGGCUAACUCCGUGCCAGCAGCCGCGGUAAUACGGAGGAGGCAAGCGUUAUCCGGAAUUAUUGGGCGUAAAGCGUCCGCAGGUGGCUAUUCAAGUCUGCGGUCAAAGACUGGGGCUUAACCCUGGAAAGGCCGUGGAAACUGAAGAGCUAGAGUGCAGUAGGGGUAGAGGGAAUUCCCGGUGUAGCGGUGAAAUGCGUAGAGC